rnacentral:rRNA from 1 species
GACGAACGCUGGCGGCGUGCUUAACACAUGCAAGUCGAACGGAAAGGCCUGCUUUCCCUUGUGGAUUGCGGGUACUCGAGUGGCGAACGGGUGAGUAACACGUGAGUGAUCUGCCCCCAACUUGGGUAUAAGCCUGGGAAACUGGGUCUAAUUCCCGAUAGGACUGCAGGGUGGUGCCUGUGGUGGAAAACGAUUUUCUAGUGGUUGGGGAUGAGCUCGCGGCCUAUCAGCUUGUUGGUGGGGUAAUGGCCUACCAAGGCGGCGACGGGUAGCCGGCCUGGGAGGGUGGACGGCCACAUUGGGACUGGGAUACGGCCCAGACUCCUACGGGAGGCAGCAGUGGGGAAUAUUGCACAAUGGGCGGAAGCCUGAUGCAGCGACGCAGCGUGGGGGAUGACGGCCUUCGGGUUGUAAACUCCUUUCGACCGCGAGGAAGCCACCUGGUUGGAAGGGUGGUGACGGUAGUGGUAGAAGAAGCACCGGCUAACUACGUG